CACAUCCUCCGCCGGUGGAGGAUCUUUCUGGUUCUCCUCCGGCAAGUAGAAGCUAACGACAAAUGACGAUGCACAGACAGGUCCGCUGCUCGGAUACACCUCGCUGAUCACCGGCGCUGUCAUUUCAAUCUUCACCCCGUAGUCGUUCUUCCCUUGUAUGUAAUCGAAUAACCUAUAAACUCAUUAAUUUCCUCCAACUCAGAAGUACGUAGUUAAUUAUCUUGGCUACAUCGGAAAGAAGGAAAUUAACAACUUACUGGUCGAAGGCGAGGAGAUUGGCGUGGACGAAGGAGAUGUCUUCAAUCUUGGAGGUCGAUGUCCAGAACGUGGAGUUGUAGCGACGAAUCUCAAAAUCACUGUUGCCGUCGAUUACGUCGUACUUGGGACAGUCCAGGGUGUUGCAGU
rnacentral:lncRNA from 1 species